rnacentral:lncRNA from 7 species
GUCUUUUCAGGAUACUAAAGCAGAGUGCAAUUCCUCUGUAGAAACUGAGGACAGAAAAAUUAGAGCUGUUAUUUGAGGCAAAAAGUCAACAUUAAGGCAAAUGAAGACACUUUAUUAGGAUUGAAGUAGUAACUGUUAGCCUGAAGACAUCGACCAAUAAGCUGACUGCAGCAAUACAUGUAUGUGUUUCUUCACUCAAAGAAAGUUCAAAUCAACAGAUGAGUUGUGAAAGAGAACAACUAAGGUGCAGAUUCGGCUGGCUCGGUGUGUUCCUUGGAGUACUUCGUGUGCAUUUAUCUGCAGUGUGGUUUUACAGACUCUGAGCUGUAGAGUACUCCAGUAAAUACAGUUCCUAGGAAUCUUUUGUUCCCUGCAAGAUGAGAAACUUAGUCUUCAUUUUCUUAUCUUCCAGUGCACUAAAAUACGUUAUACUCCAUUUGAUGGUAAGAGCUAAAUUAAGUUUAAGGCUCUGAUAAGAGCUAGUACAGAAAUGCCACGCUCUGAAGCUGCUAUUGUUGCCUGUGUAAAAGAACAUCAUAUAUUUUUGUUAGCAUCUUAGGAAAUUGGCCAUCAUUUAACAAAAAAAUAGCAUAAAAUGAAAUUUGGAACAGAGUUUCUGGUUGCCUGUUCCUUUAAAGAAUAGCAAGAUUCCCACUGAUUGUAACAGCUUUUAACCUGAACCCAAGAACAGCUCUCUUGGACCAGCCUUUCUUAAAAUGACUCUUGUCAAUGCCUUCUAUUUGCUUUCUUGGCACUGCUUACAGAUCCAAAACACUUAAGAACUAAGCUUCCCAAACAGGCUUUUGUUUAAACUUCAGUGAUAGGUGAAAGAACAAUUGAGUAAUAUUUAUAUAUUAAAGGUAGAAAAAAACCAUGUCCUGAUGGAAGGAAGACGCAAAUGAGAACAUAAACUAAAAGUAGGUGUCCUAAAUAAAAGUUUCAUGUU